UUCCUUGACUGGGGUUUGAACCUAGGCCCCUCAUGUUGACAGUGCGGAGUCUUAACCAAUGGACCACCAGCAA
rnacentral:tRNA from 1 species